rnacentral:rRNA from 1 species
ACAUGCCUACAACAUAGCGUUAAUGCACUAGAUCCCAUUAGAACUCUGCACUUGAGUGCGCUCGGACUAAAGUAGUACUGGGAUGGGUGACCACCCAGGAAGUCCUAGUGUUUUACAUGCC